GGAAGGGUGCCCGAGUGGUUUAAGGGGUACGCCUGGAGAGCGUAUGUCCGGGCAACCGGACCGAGGGUUCGAAUCCCUCCCCUUCCGCCA
rnacentral:tRNA from 1 species